UUAGUUAUGUUCUUUGUCUAUUAUAAAUGGACAGCUAAUACCUGUCCGUAUUAGUAUAAAAUUUUUCCGACUUAAACCAAAUUCUGCAGAAUAUUAAAGCUAAAAACAGAAAUAAAAAGAACAAUAAAUCACACCAUGAUUUUUACGUGGUUCAGCCCCUAUCCUCUACUCUAGUGGUCUAAUCCACGUCCAAUCACAACUAGGAUUGGAGACUCA
rnacentral:lncRNA from 1 species